rnacentral:rRNA from 1 species
GAUGAACGCUGGCGGUAUGCUUAACACAUGCAAGUCGAACGGACUCUUCGGAGUUAGUGGCGGACGGGUGAGUAACGCGUGAGAAUCUGGCUUUGGGUUCGGGACAACCACUGGAAACGGUGGCUAAUACCGGAUGUGCCGAGAGGUAAAAGAGAAAUUGCCUGAAGAUGAGCUCGCGUCUGAUUAGCUAGUUGGUGAGGUAAAGGCUCACCAAGGCAGCGAUCAGUAGCUGGUCUGAGAGGAUGACCAGCCACACUGGGACUGAGACACGGCCCAGACUCCUACGGGAGGCAGCAGGGGGGAAUUUUCCGAAAUGGGCGAAAGCCUGACGGAGCAAUACCGCGUGAGGGAAGAAGGCUCUUGGGUUGUAAACCUCUUUUCUUAGGGAAGAACAAAAUGACGGUACCUAAGGAAUCAGCAUCGGCUAACUCCGUG